GGUCCUAAGGUAGCGAAAUUCCUUGUCGGGUAAGUUCCGACCCGCACGAAAGGCGUAACGAUUUGGGCACUGUCUCAACAACAGACUCGGUGAAAUUGUAAUUCCGGUGAAGAUGCCGGAUACCUGCGACAGGACGGAAAGACCCCAUGGAGCUUUACUGUAGCUUGACAUUGGGUCUUGGUACUACAUGUACAGGAUAGGUGGGAGGCUUUGAAACCAGGACGCCAGUUUUGGCGGAGCCAUCCUUGGGAUACCACCCUUGUAGUACUGGGACUCUAACCAUAGGCCAUGAAUCUGGUCUUGGGACACUGUCAGGUGGGCAGUUUGACUGGGGCGGUCGCCUCCCAAAAGGUAACGGAGGCGCUCAAAGGUUCUCUCAGUACGGUCGGAAAUCGUACGUAGAGUGUAAAGGCAAAAGAGAGCUUGAUUGCAAGACAUACAGGUCGAGCAAGGAUGAAAAUCGGACUUAGUGAUCCGGUGGUUCUGCGUGGAAGGGCCAUCGCUCAACGGAUAAAAGCUACCCUGGGGAUAACAGGCUUAUCUCCCCCAAGAGUCCACAUCGACGGGGAGGUUUGGCACCUCGAUGUCGGCUCAUCACAUCCUGGGGCUGUAGUAGGUCCCAAGGGUUGGGCUGUUCGCCCAUUAAAGUGGUACGCGAGCUGGGUUCAGAACGUCGUGAGACAGUUCGGUCCCUAUCCGUCGCAGGCGUAGGAAAUUUGAGAAGACCUGUCCUUAGUACGAGAGGACCGGGAUGGACGUACCUCUGGUGUACCAGUUGUCCUGCCAAGGGCAUGGCUGGGUAGCUAUGUACGGAAUGGAUAAGCGCUGAAAGCAUCUAAGCGCGAAGCCAACUUCAAGAUAAGAUUUCCCACCGCAAGGGUAAGACCCCAGAAAGACUAUCUGGUUGAUAGGUCGAAGGUGUAAGUGCAGCAAUGUAUUUAGCUUAUCGAUACUAAUAGGUC
rnacentral:rRNA from 1 species